ensembl:snRNA U6 U6 spliceosomal RNA
GUGCUUGCUUCAACAGUAUAUAUACAAAAAAUUGGAACGAUCCAGAGAAGAUUAGCAUGGUUGUUGCUUAAUGAUGAUACACACAUUUGUUUCAUUUUAUAUAUAUAG